rnacentral:rRNA from 1 species
AUUGAACGCUGGCGGCAUGCUUUACACAUGCAAGUCGAACGGUAACAGGCCGCAAGGUGCUGACGAGUGGCGAACGGGUGAGUAAUGCAUCGGAACGUGCCCAGUCGUGGGGGAUAACUACUCGAAAGAGUAGCUAAUACCUCAUACGAUCUAUGGAUGAAAGCGGGGGGCCGUAAGGCCUCGCGCGGUUGGGGCGGCCGAUGUCAGAUUAGGUAGUUGGUGGGGUAACGGCUCACCAAGCCAACGAUCUGUAGCUGGUCUGAGAGGACGACCAGCCACACUGGAACUGAGACACGGCCCAGACUCCUACGGGAGGCAGCAGUGGGGAAUUUUGGACAAUGGGCGCAAGCCUGAUCCAGCAAUGCCGCGUGCAGGAAGAGGGCCUUCGGGUUGUAAACUGCUUUUGUACGGAACGAAACGGCUCUGGUUAAUACCCGGGGCUAAUGACGGUACCGUAAGAAUAAGCACCGGCUAACUACGUG